CCAUCAUCAGUAGUGGUUUUAACUUACUUUGUUAUACAAGUAAUUAAAAUCUAUCCCGGGGUCAAGUAUGAUGAUUGGAGCCGAAUGGCCUAGAAAAUGCAUCCGUUCCGUCCUCGGAGAUGAUUGAGUAGCUGUCCCGGUCGGUGUCUCAGGUGGGACAUUGUUGGGUUGUUGUUCGCACAUAA
rfam:Schizosaccharomyces japonicus yFS275 unplaced genomic scaffold supercont5.1, whole genome shotgun sequence.